AACGACUCUCGGCAACGGAUAUCCCGGCUCUCGCAUCGAUGAAGAACGUAGCGAAAUGCGAUACUUGGUGUGAAUUGCAGAAUCCCGUGAACCAUCGAGUCUUUGAACGCAAGUUGCGCCCGAAGCCACUAGGCUGAGGGCACGCCUGCCUGGGUGUCACGC
rnacentral:rRNA from 1 species